UGGUGGCGACCGGCGCACGGGUGAGUAACGCGUAUGCAACCCACUUAUCAGAGGGGAAUAACCCGGCGAAAGUCGGACUAAUACCGCAUAAAACAGGGACACCGCAUGGUGAUAUUUGUUAAAGAAAUUCGCUGAUAGAUGGGCAUGCGUUCCAUUAGGUAGUUGGUGAGGUAACGGCUCACCAAGCCGACGAUGGGUAGGGGAACUGAGAGGUUGGUCCCCCACACUGGUACUGAGACACGGACCAGACUCCUACGGGAGGCAGCAGUGAGGAAUAUUGGUCAAUGGGCGAGAGCCUGAACCAGCCAAGUCGUGUGAAGGAAGAAGGAUCUAUGGUUCGUAAACUUCUUUUGCAGGGGAAUAAAGUGCAGGACGUGUCCUGUUUUGUAUGUACCCUGAGAAUAAGGAUCGGCUAACUCCGUGCCAGCAGCCGCGGUAAUACGGAGGAUCCGAGCGUUAUCCGGAUUUAUUGGGUUUAAAGGGUGCGUAGGUGGUUUGAUAAGUCAGCGGUGAAAGUUUGCAGCUUAACUGUAAAAAUGCCGUUGAAACUGUCGGACUUGAGUGUAAAUGGGGUAGGCGGAAUGCGUGGUGUAGCGGUGAAAUGCUUACAUAUCACGAAGAACUCCGAUUG
rnacentral:rRNA from 1 species